rnacentral:tRNA from 1 species
GGAGGGAUGCCCGAGAGGCCAAAGGGACCAGACUGUAAAUCUGGCGCACACCGUGCUUCGGAGGUUCGAAUCCUCCUCCCUCCA